UGGCUCAGGAUUAACGCUGGCGGCGUGCCUAAUACAUGCAAGUCGAAUGGUAGCAAUACCAUGGCGAACGGGUGAGUAACACGUAGGUAACCUGUCUUUAAGACGAGGAUAACCGUUGGAAACGACGGAUAAUACUCGAUAGGUGAUUUUUAGGGCAUCCUAGGAUCAUUAAAGAUUUAUCACUUAGAGAGGGGCCUGCGGCGCAUUAGCUAGAUGGCGGGGUAAUAGCCCACCAUGGCGAUGAUGCGUAGCCGGACUGAGAGGUUGAACGGCCACAAUGGAACUGAGAACGGUCCAUACUCCUACGGGAGGCAGCAGUAGGGAAUUUUCGGCAAUGGGCGAAAGCCUGAACCCGAGCAACGCCGCGUGAACGAAGAAGUAUUUCGGUAUGUAAAGUUCUUUUAUUAGGGAAGAAAAAUAUCCAAAUUGACGGUACCUAAUGAAUAAGCUCCGGCUAACUACGUGCCAGCAGCCGC
rnacentral:rRNA from 1 species